CCUCACGUCACGCCGCCUCUGCCCGCGCUCCCGACGCUAGGCCCCGCCCCCAGGGGCUAGUGGUUCGCGAGGCGCCCUAGAGUCCCGGGUGCUGCGUCUUCUUUCCUCGGGUUUGGGAUGAAUCUUCUCCCAUUUCCCCGGGAGAUGGUGACUGCCUUGGAGGACGCUUCGAUCUCAAGCUACUCUGGGCUCCACUUUCCUCCAUAUUGGCCGGUUCCCUGGCGGGGUUAACCUUCCUCCCCGCCCCCAGCGCGAGCCGCAGGGCCGGCGGGGAAGGUUCCCGCCGCGCUGACUCCAGGGCACUGGGUCAUCAAAGGCGGGAAACCAGGAAACUCCACUCCUAACUUCACAGUCCUUCCAGCUGCCUCACAGUGCGAGGCAAAAAUGCAGGAACACUGGAGAAGAAAUGGAAGCCAGGAGAACUUCCAGGAAUCGCGCAUAUCGCCCUCAAAACGGUGGUGGGCACGAUGGGACUGUCCUGCCCCUACAAUCUCCACCCCACCAGCUGAAUCUCUAAGGUCCACAGGGAAUGCUCUGGAGAGCUGUUCUUCGCCUAUGCUGAUUCGCUGAACUGAACAGGGAGCAGAAACCCCAGAGCACACUCUACGUGGGACCUGAGGCUGGGUAAUGGCCUGACGCUGGACCCGAGCCCUUUGGAGCCUCUAUAUCAACUAUCAAAGGAGGGUGCAUUGCGAAGAAGUGCGAAUGGGAGGGAGUGUGAACUCAGUGCCUGUUAGCUGAUUCACUCAACCGACUUGCAUCGCUCCCACGCCGGGGCUUGGUGCAUGGACAGCGAUGACGGGGAGAGGGUCCGGCCUCACAGGACUACAACAGCCAAAGGGUUGUGGGUACAAGGGGGACAGGGCAGGUGUUCCGUGGGAGGCCUUGAAGGGGAAGGUGGAGUCCUGAAGCAUGAGUCCGAAGAAGUAGCAAUCAUUCAAUAAAUACAUGCUGAUUUAUUACAGAGAUAGUUUCUUGGGGGAUAAAUUCAAGAGGAGUUGAGAAUGUUUUAUUCAUUUACAAUGUCCCUUUCCUGGAAGGGAGGAUAGCAAGAUUUAGGACAAGCUAAAAUCAUCCCCUAUU